AAUAAGGUCACGAGACUCACAUAGUCACAAGUCACACAACCUUUGACAUCAGCCUGGAACCACACACACACAUGCACAAUAUAUAUGUAUAGUCUCCUCUAUCAUUUGUUUUCAUCUUCUCUUAUAUCUCCAAAUCUCUCUUCCAAAAGACAUACAGAUGGUGGUGAGGAUGAGAUUGGGGAAGAUUGUGGAAGGCUUGAAGUCGAAGAUAAAGACUAGUCUAAAGUUGCGGAAGAGAUCAUCAUUAUCAUCAUCAUCAUCAUCCUCGUCGUCAUCAUCAUCUUCAUCGUAUGAGAAGAUAGAGAAGAGCGAGAGCAUGAGAUUUGAGUUGAGAAGCAGAAAGGCACACAAAAUCAUCCAACAAACUCUUCAAAUUGCCGACUCUCCUACCUCAAGAACUUAUGCUUUUUGAUUUCAUCUUUUUAACAUCCAAAACAUAUUCAUACAUACAUAUAUAUGGAUUUGCGUGUACGCAUCUGUUUAUACAUAUAUAUAUCCCAUCUAGAAUUUGUACAUGUGGUGUAUGUAUGUGUAAGUUUAUAUGGAUGAUGUGAUUGUGUUUGA